rnacentral:rRNA from 1 species
GUGGGGAAUAUUGGACAAUGGGCGAAAGCCUGAUCCAGCCAUGCCGCGUGUGUGAAGAAGGUCUUCGGAUUGUAAAGCACUUUAAGUUGGGAGGAAGGGCAGUAAGUUAAUACCUUGCUGUUUUGACGUUACCAACAGAAUAAGCACCGGCUAACUUCGUGCCAGCAGCCGCGGUAAUACGAAGGGUGCAAGCGUUAAUCGGAAUUACUGGGCGUAAAGCGCGCGUAGGUGGUUCAGCAAGUUGAAGGUGAAAUCCCCGGGCUCAACCUGGGAACUGCCUCCAAAUCUACUGAGCUAGAGUACGGUAGAGGGUAGUGGAAUUUCCUGUGUAGCGGUGAAAUGCGUAGAUAUAGGAAGGAACACCAGUGGCGAAGGCGACUACCUGGACUGAUACUGACACUGAGGUGCGAAAGCGUGGGGAGCAAACAGGAUUAGAUACCCUUGUAGUCC